UCAGAGAGAAACUCCAGGAUCUUCUGACAGAGACGUGGACAAACGUCUCACAGGCAGUGACUGAUGUGGAUGUUUUACUGUUAGAACCACCAGGACCAGCAGAACCCAAGACCAGAGCUGGUUUCUUAAGAUAUUCACAAAGAAUCACACUGGAUCCAAACACAGCAGACAGAAAUCUGUUAUUAUCUGAUGGAAACAGAAGAGCAACAAAGACAGAAGAAGAACAGUCUUAUCCUGAACAUCCAGACAGAUUCACUUAUUAUCCUCAGGUCCUGAGUAGAGAGAGUCUGACUGGACGUUGUUACUGGGAGGUGGACUGGAGAGGGAACUGGGUUUUUGUAGCAGUCGCAUACAAGACUAUCAGGAGAGACGGAGGAUCAGGGGAUUGUUUAUUUGGAGGAAAUGACAAAUCUUGGAGUUUAUUCUGUUAUAAAGACAGGUAUAGAUUUGGUCACAACAACGUCUUCACUGAUGUCUCAGGUCCUCCGUCCUCCAGAGUAGGAGUGUACCUGGAUCACAGAGCAGGUAUUCUGUCCUUCUACAGCGUCUCUGAAACCAUGACUCUCCUCCACAGAGUCCAGACCACAUUCACUGAACCUCUACAUGCUGGACUGGGGUUAUUCUGGUCUGAUGGAGACUCUGCUGAGUUUAUAGAAGUGAACUAAAGAGAAUUUUGAGUCCAUCAGACCAAAAUCAUGGACUGAGAUCCUUGAACUCUUGAAAUGUUCUGGUUUGUAAAUGUUUGUGGAUCAGUCUCACCAAAAACUCUGGGUUUAGUUCUUCAUUUCAGCUUUUUGAUUCUUUUCUAAAGAUGCUGAUUUGGUCGCAGCUUUAAGGAAAGUGAUUGUGGAGAACUUUGAUUGUUUGUAUUUCUCAUGUUGAAAAAUCUUCAUCAAGUUUGAUAUCAACAACAUCAGUGAGUUGGGGUAGAUUUGUGUAUUUUUUAAUCUUGAGUUUUGGUUGAUUUGGGUAUUCUUUGUUUCUUUUAUUCCUUUUUCUGUGUAAAGCACUUUGUGCUGUAUGUUAUGUAUGAAAAGCGCUAUAUAAAAUAAGACUGAUUCAUUGAUUGAUUGAUUUAGAAAAAAGUGACAUCAAAAUAACAGAAAGAUGAAAAAGGACGACCUUAUUUCCUGUCCCAAAUCCAAGCGUCUAAAGUCUUUCCAGUCGUCCCCAAAAACUCUUCAGAUGAUCUGUUUCUUUCUCUGUUUGCUGAAUAUUUGUGUUCAUGUGAUCGAUG